GAUGAACGCUGGCGGCGUGCCUAAUACAUGCAAGUCGAGCGAACGGACGAGAAGCUUGCUUCUCUGAUGUUAGCGGCGGACGGGUGAGUAACACGUGGAUAACCUACCUAUAGACUGGGAUAACUUCGGGAAACCGGAGCUAAUACCGGAUAAUAUUUUGAACCGCAUGGUUCAAAAGUGAAAGACGGUCUUGCUGUCACUUAUAGAUGGAUCCGCGCUGCAUUAGCUAGUUGGUAAGGUAACGGCUUACCAAGGCAACGAUGCAUAGCCGACCUGAGAGGGUGAUCGGCCACACUGGAACUGAGACACGGUCCAGACUCCUACGGGAGGCAGCAGUAGGGAAUCUUCCGCAAAGGGCGAAAGCCUGACGGAGCAACGCCGCGUGAGUGAUGAAGGUCUUCGGAUCGUAAAACUCUGUUAUUAGGGAAGAACAUAUGUGUAAGUAACUGUGCACAUCUUGACGGUACCUAAUCAGAAAGCCACGGCUAACUACGUG
rnacentral:rRNA from 1 species